AUAAGUCUGAGUGUCUAGGGUUAUGAGAUCAAAUUGUGUUUCUUUGUCACUGGAAAUCCCCACUUCAAACCUUAAGAACGAGCCAUUCAAAAGCUUGCAGUGAGGCAACACACUUAACAGGAAAGCAUGACUUCAUUUUGGCAUGAUUCGUCUUCAAAAUCAGGCAAAGAAACCCGUUUUAUGGUGUGAAAGAGGUGUGUUCAUGGACGCAAGGCAAUUGCAUACUGAACACCACGUCACUCAUAAAGGUGUGGAUUCAGAAAUUAUUACCCAAUUAACUUCCUGCAAGCUGAUCUAUGACUUCAGAGUCAGCUUCUUGUAA
rnacentral:lncRNA from 1 species